GCCCCUGUGGCGCAAUCGGUAGCGCGUAAGACUUCUAUGACAUGGUCAUCUUAAGGCUGUGGGUAGCCCCACCAGGGGCU
rnacentral:tRNA from 1 species